GGUUGAUACUUUGUCACUGUUACCGUGUAUGCUCCUGCUAAUAUUCCUCAGCAUCGCCACAAACAUAUGGUCUAUGAAUCAUCUUCCAGAUAUUCAGCACGGCCCUUCACCUCAAGCACAUAUUCAGUACGGCUACUGCCCUUCGCCUCAAGCGCAUACUCAGCAUGGCUACUGCCCUUCGCCUCAAGCGCAUACUCAGCAUGGCUACUGCCCUUCGCCUCAAGCACAUAUUCAGCAUUGCCAUGGCUCUUCACCCCAAGCACAUAUUCACGAUAACCUUUCACCCCUUUUGCCCCCUUCACCGUCUUCAUCCACCUUGCUCCAAGAGCAUAUUCAGCAUGAUCCUUCACCCCAAGCACAUAUUCAGCAUUGCCAUGGCCCUUCACCCCAAGCACAUAUUCACGAUAAUCCUUCACCCCCUUCACUAUCUUCAUCCACUUUGCUCCAAGAGUAUAUUCAGCAUGAUCCUUCGCCUCAAGCACAUAUUCAUCAUUGCCAUGGCCCUUCACCCCAAGCACAUAUUCACGAUAACCCUUCACCCCUUUCACCCCCUUCACCGCCUUCAUCCGCUUUGCUCCAAGAGCAUAUUCAGCAUGAUCCUUCGCCCCAAGCACAUAUCCAGCAUAGCCAUGGUCCUUCACCCCAAGCACAUAUUCACGACAACCCUUCACCGAUUUCAUCCCCUUCACCGCCUUCAUCCCCUUUGCUCCAAGAGCAUGUUCAGCAUGAUCCUUCAGCGGAAAAGCAUAUUUACAAUGGCCCUUUGCCGAGAGUAGAACUUCGCAAGAUUAAAACGAAACUUCAUCAGACCAAAACGAAACUUCAUCAGAAGAUCAGGAUCGAAUGGAGUAAAAUCCAACACUUGUG
rnacentral:lncRNA from 1 species